GAUGAGGUGGUCGAGUGGUAAAGACAAUGGACUGCUAAUCCAUUGUGCUCU
rnacentral:tRNA from 1 species